rnacentral:rRNA from 1 species
UACGGAAGGCAGCAGUAGGGAAUCUUCCGCAAUGGACGAAAGUCUGACGGAGCAACGCCGCGUGAACGAUGAAGGCUUUCGGGUCGUAAAGUUCUGUUGUUAGGGAGAACAAGUACCAGAGUAACUGCUGGUACCUUGACGGUACCUAACCAGAAAGCCACGGCUAACUACGUGCCAGCAGCCGCGGUAAUACGUAGGUGGCAAGCGUUGUCCGGAAUUAUUGGGCGUAAAGCGCGCGCAGGUGGUCCUUUAAGUCUGAUGUGAAAGCCCACGGCUCAACCGUGGAGGGUCAUUGGAAACUGGGGGACUUGAGUGCAGAAGAGGAAAGUGGAAUUCCACGUGUAGCGGUGAAAUGCGUAGAGAUGUGGAGGAACACCAGUGGCGAAGGCGACUUUUCUGGUCUGUAACUGACACUGAGCGCGAAAGCGUGGGGAGCGAACAGGGAUUAGAUACC